GGGAGAACGGGGGGGGGGGGCGAAAGGCGAGAGAAAGAGACCGAGGAAAAAUGGGAGGGGCGAGAAAGAAAUAACUCCCAUUUUUCCUCGCUCUCUUUCUCUUGCCUUUGCCCCCUCCCCCCCUAAAUAGCG